CCUGGCGGCCGUAGCGCGGUGGUCCCCCCUGACCCCAUGCCGAACUCAGAAGUGAAACGCCGUAGCGCCGAUGGUAGUGUGGGGUUUCCCCAUGCGAGAGUAGGGAACUGCCAGGC
rnacentral:rRNA from 1 species